rnacentral:rRNA from 1 species
GGGGGGCAGGGGGCUAUCUGCAGUCGAGCGAACAGAUAGGAGCUUGCUCCUUUGACGUUAGCGGCGGACGGGUGAGUAACACGUGGAUAACCUACCUAUAAGACUGGGAUAACUUCGGGAAACCGGAGCUAAUACCGGAUAACAUAUUGAACCGCAUGGUUCAAUAGUGAAAGGCGGCUUUGCUGUCACUUAUAGAUGGAUCCGCGCCGUAUUAGCUAGUUGGUAAGGUAACGGCUUACCAAGGCAACGAUACGUAGCCGACCUGAGAGGGUGAUCGGCCACACUGGAACUGAGACACGGUCCAGACUCCUACGGGAGGCAGCAGUAGGGAAUCUUCCGCAAUGGGCGAAAGCCUGACGGAGCAACGCCGCGUGAGUGAUGAAGGUCUUCGGAUCGUAAAACUCUGUUAUCAGGGAAGAACAAAUGUGUAAGUAACUGUGCACAUCUUGACGGUACCUGAUCAGAAAGCCACGGCUAACUACGUGCCAGCAGCCGCGGUAAUACGUAGGUGGCAAGCGUUAUCCGGAAUUAUUGGGCGUAAAGCGCGCGUAGGCGGUUUUUUAAGUCUGAUGUGAAAGCCCACGGCUCAACCGUGGAGGGUCAUUGGAAACUGGAAAACUUGAGUGCAGAAGAGGAAAGUGGAAUUCCAUGUGUAGCGGUGAAAUGCGCAGAGAUAUGGAGGAACACCAGUGGCGAAGGCGACUUUCUGGUCUGUAACUGACGCUGAUGUGCGAAAGCGUGGGGAUCAAACAGGAUUAGAUACCCUGGUAGUCCACGCCGUANACGAUGAGUGCUAAGUGUUAGGGGGUUUCCGCCCCUUAGUGC